rnacentral:misc_RNA from 1 species
AUGGAUGAGCUUUUGGCUGUUUUGGGUUACAAGGUAAGGUCAUCUGACAUGGUUGAGGUCGCCCAGAAGCUUGAACAGCUACAAGAAGUUAUGGGUCAUGUACAAGAAGAUGGUAUUUCUCAUCUUGCUUGUGAAACUGUCCAUUAUAAUCCCUCCGAUCUAUCCACUUGGCUAGAAAGUAUGCUCUCAGAGCUCAACCCAAAUCCCAAUUUUGAUUCUGUUGUUAUGCCUGCACAGCCUUCUAUAGAUGAUUCAUUUUUCACUCAUCCUGAAUCUUCCACCAUCACCUCUAUUGAUUUCGCCGACCAUACCCAUCAACGUCACCAAGAGCAGCGGAAAACAAACAAGCACAGUCGAGAUGUGGUGUUUGAAGACUCUUCAUCUUCUGAUUACGAUCUCAAAGCUAUUCCUGGUAAGUCCGUAUUUGCCCAACCUCAUCUAAUUGAUUCCUCCUCUUCGUCGUCUCGAGAUCCCAAGCGUUUGAAAUCCGCAACCACAGACCACCUAUACCCAGCAGCAGCAGCAGCAUCAUCGUCAUCUACUAUUGGUGCUGGUGCUGCUGGUUCCUUUGGUGUUUCAACUGAGUCAACUCGUCCAGUAGUCCUGGUUGACUCACAAGAGAACGGAAUCCGACUAGUUCAUCUCCUAAUGGCCUGUGCCGAAGCCGUCCAAGAAAAUAAUCUAACUGUCGCGGAAGCCCUCGUCAAGCAAAUCGGUUUCCUGGCCAUCUCUCAAGCCGGAGCUAUGCGUAAAGUCGCCACCUACUUGUUAGCUCGCAGAAUUUACAGACUCUAUCCUCAAAGUGCCAUGGACCAUUCUCUCUCGGAUAUUCUA